rnacentral:rRNA from 1 species
GACGAACGCUGGCGGCGUGCUUAACACAUGCAAGUCGAACGGAAAGGCCCUUCGGGGUACUCGAUUGGCAACCGGGUGAGUAACCCGUGGUUGAUCUGCCCUGCCCUUUGGGUUAAGCCUGGGAAACUGGGCCUAAUACCGAAUGGGACCCCGCCCUUCAUGUGGUGUGUUGGAAAGCUUUUGCGGUGUGGGAUGGGCCCGCGGCCUAUCAGCUUGUUGGUGGGGUAAUGGCCUACCAAGGCGACGACGGGUAGCCGGCCUGAGAGGGUGACCGGCCACACUGGGACUGAGAUACGGCCCAGACUCCUACGGGAGGCAGCAGUGGGGAAUAUUGCACAAUGGGCGCAAGCCUGAUGCAGCGACGCCGCGUGAGGGAUGACGGCCUUCGGGUUGUAAACCUCUUUCAAUAGGGACGAAGCGCAAGUGACGGUACCUAUAGAAGAAGCACCGGCCAACUACGUG